CGCCUGUUUAUCAAAAACAUCUCUUCUCGUUAGUUUUUGAAGUAUGGCCUGCCCACUGACCUUGAAUGUUGAAGGGCCGCGGUAUUUUGACCGUGCAAAGGUAGCAUAGUCAUUAGUUCUUUAAUUGUGAUCUGGUAUGAAUGGCUUGACGAGGCAUAGGCUGUCUUAAUUUUGAAUUGUUUAUUGAAUUUGGUCUUUGAGUUAAAAUUCUUAGAUGUUUUUAUGGGACGAGAAGACCCUAUAGAGUUUGACAUUUAUUAUGGUCUCUUUCUGUUUGUGAGGGUUCACUAGGGCUGUUUAAUAUGUUUUGUUGGGGUGAUGGGAGGGAUAUUAUUUAACCCCUCCUUUGUGUUGUUAUAUUUAUUUAUAUUUGCUUGAUCCAUUUAUUUUGAUUGUAAGAUUAAAUUACCUUAGGGAUAACAGCGUAA
rnacentral:rRNA from 1 species